rnacentral:lncRNA from 1 species
GCAGACUCUCAGGUCAGAUGGUGAGGGCUGAUUGCGGGAGGUGGACAAGAAGUCUGGCCUAAUGACUAAGGACAGCUAACGCCUAACUCCGUUCCUCAUCACUCCACCUGGAAGCAGCGGAACUGGCAACACCUUGGUGCCCUAGACGGAAACCUCAGUCCCGACUGAAGCGUAUUCAUCACCAACACUGGGAUAGCUGCAGCUAGGGCCACACAAUAAAAAUAGCCCAGGACGGCACUGGCUAUCCGCUGCCCCUUCAGCUAUAGAAUUCCUGUCCUUAAUCGCUUUUAGUUCUGUAACUGCUUGUGGAAACAGCUGAUUACUGGACAGGUGGGAGUACGAAAGGCGUUUAGUAAGACUGCAAAUCUGAUGUGAACUGGUAGGACGCAGAGUGUAUGGCAUAGUCAAGAAAGAAGUCAACGCCAGGCGAGGUGCUAUGGCUAAGGGAUUAAUCUUUUGUGUCCCAACUAUGUUGCUCUGACGGUUCCACUUGCACUACUGGUUUUUACUUCAUCGUUAAUCUCUGCUCUGGCCGAUAACAGCCUGCAUGAAAACAUCACCAGUUUUCAAGUUUUUCUCAGGAUGAACAGUACAUAGAAAAGUGAGCCUGAAUGCUGAGAUCCUGAGACCGUGCUGCGGCGCCUGGGAAUUCAUAGAGCAGCUUUUAAGGGGCCACCACUUCUCGCAUCGUGUGCCAUGCAAGUAAACCUACCCUAUCCUGAGACCCUUGCCUGGGGUGACUGGAAGAGCUGCUUCUGUAGAAUCCUGGGCCAGACCAUCUAUCUGGACGAAUAGGAGAAAAGCCUAGUUGUUGUCUCCUGCAAGAUGUAUUCAGUUGUAAUUUCGCCUUUGUUCCUUAAUCUGUUAGUAUGGUAUAUUACAUCGAUUAAUAUUUCAUAUUAAAUCAGUCAUGAAUUCCCAUUAUGAGCCCCACUUGCUCAUGAUUGAAGAUAUUUCUUAUAUGUUGCAGAUUGACUCUUGGUAUUAUUUGUCCAUUUUUGUACUCACCUAGCACACACAUACAAAAU